ACGAAUCUCUUGGUUCUGGCAUCGAUGAAGAACGCAGCGAAAUGCGAUAAGUAGUGUGAAUUGCAGAAUUCAGUGAAUCAUCGAAUCUUUGAACGCACAUUGCGCCCCUUGGUAUCCCGAGGGGCAUGCCUGUUCGAGCGUCAUUUCACCACUCAAGCCUGGCUUGGUGUUGGGCGACGUCCGCUUUUGGGGACGCGUCUCGAAACGCUCGGCGGCGUGGCACCGGCUUUAAGCGUAGCAGAAUCUUUCGCUUUGAAAGUCGGGGCCCCGUCUGCCGGAAGACCUACUCGCAAGGUUGACCUC
rnacentral:rRNA from 1 species